rnacentral:rRNA from 1 species
CAGUCGCCGCGGUAAUACAGAGGAUGCAAGCGUUAUCCGGAAUGAUUGGGCGUAAAGCGUCUGUAGGUGGCUUUUCAAGUCCGCCGUCAAAUCCCAGGGCUCAACCCUGGACAGGCGGUGGAAACUACCAAGCUGGAGUACGGUAGGGGCAGAGGGAAUUACCGGUGGAGCGGUGAAAUGCGUUGAGAUCGGAAAGAACACCAACGGCGAAAGCACUCUGUUAGGCCGACACUGACACUGAGAGAUGAAAGCUAGGGGAGCAAAUGGGAUUAGAUACCCCCGUAGUCCCUGUCUCUUAUAA